rnacentral:rRNA from 1 species
AUUGAACGCUGGCGGCAUGCUUUACACAUGCAAGUCGGACGAGUGGCGGACGGGUGAGUAAUGUAUCGGAACGUACCGAGUAGUGGGGGAUAACUGCUCGAAAGGAUAGCUAAUACCGCAUACUAUUCGAGCGGCCGAUAUCGGAUUAGCUGGUUGGUGGGGUAACGGCCCACCAAGGCGACGAUCCGUAGCGGGUUUGAGAGGAUGAUCAGCCACACUGGGACUGAGACACGGCCCAGACUCCUACGGGAGGCAGCAGUGGGGAAUUUUGGACAAUGGGCGCAAGCCUGAUGCAGCCAUGCCGCGUGUCUGAAGAAGGCCUUCGGGUUGUAAAGUACUUUCAGCGGGGAGGCGUUACUCGCAGAAGAAGCACCGGCUAACUCCGUGCCAGCAGCCGCGGUAAUAC